rnacentral:rRNA from 1 species
GACGAACGUUGGCGGCGUGCUUAAUACAUGCAAGUCAACUGAAGCACCGGUAGUAAUACUGGUGUGGAGGUGGCGCACGGGUGAGUAACACGUAGGUAAUCUGCCUUCAGGUCUGACAUAACCCCGAGAAAUCGGGGCUAAUAGCAGAUGAUGCAGCGGCUUGACAUCAAAGACAGUUGUUAAAGCUUCGGCGCCUGAAGAUGAGCCUGCGUCUGAUUAGCUAGUUGGCGGAGUAAUAGCCCACCAAGGCGACGAUCAGUAGCUGGUCUGAGAGGAUGAUCAGCCACACUGGAACUGAGACACGGUCCAGACUCCUACGGGAGGCAGCAGUAAGGAAUAUUGCUCAAUGGGAGAAAUCCUGAAGCAGCAACGCCGCGUGAGGGAUGAAGGGCUUUUGCUCGUAAACCUCUGUAGUGAGGGAAAAAUUCCAUUCUAUGGAAUAUGAUGGUACCUC